rnacentral:pre_miRNA from 1 species
CUCACAUCUGGACUGUCGGUCUACCGAGCAAUUUGACGUGCUCGGUGGAAGAUCUUCCCUAUAUGUCGU